rnacentral:rRNA from 1 species
ACUACGGGGGGCAGCAGUGGGGAAUAUUGGACAAUGGGCGAAAGCCUGAUCCAGCCAUGCCGCGUGUGUGAAGAAGGCCUUCGGGUUGUAAAGCACUUUCAGUGGGGAAGAAAGCCUUGGGGCUAAUACCCUCGAGGAAGGACAUCACCCACAGAAGAAGCACCGGCUAACUCCGUGCCAGCAGCCGCGGGAAUACAGGAGGGUGCGAGCGUUAAUCGGAAUUACGGGGCGUAAAGCGCGAGUAGGCGGUCUGAUAAGCCGGUUGUGAAAGCCCCGGGCUCAACCCGGGAACGGCAUCCGGAACUGUCAGGCUAGAGUGCAGGAGAGGAAGGUAGAAUUCCCGGUGUAGCGGUGAAAUGCGUAGAGAUCGGGAGGAAUACCAGUGGCGAAGGCGGCCUUCUGGACUGACACUGACGCUGAGGUGCGAAAGCGUGGGUAGCAAACAGGAUUAGAUACCCCAGUAGUC